rnacentral:rRNA from 1 species
UACGUAGGUGACAAGCGUUGUCCGGAUUUACUGGGCGUAAAGAGCGCGCAGGCGGUCGUUCAAGUCGAGUGUGAAAGCCCCCGGCUCAACUGGGGAGGGUCAUUCGAUACUGAUCGACUCGAAGGCAGGAGAGGGAAGUGGAAUUCCCGGUGUAGUGGUGAAAUGCGUAGAUAUCGGGAGGAACUCCGGUGGCGAAGGCGGCAUACUGGACCACAUCUGACGCUGAGGCGCGAAAGCCAGGGGAGCAAACGGG